rnacentral:rRNA from 1 species
AUUGAACGCUGGCGGCAGGCCUAACACAUGAAAGUCGAACGAGGGGCGGACGGGUGAGUAAUGUCUGGGAAACUGCACGAUGGAGGGGGAUAACUACUGGAAACGGUAGCUAAUACCGCAUACCAUCGGAUGUGCCCAGAUGGGAUUAGCUAGUAGGUGGUGGAAUGGCUCACCUAGGCGACGAUCCCUAGCUGGUCUGAGAGGAUGACCAGCCACACUGGAACGUAGACACGGUCCAGACUCCUCCGGGAUGCAGCAGGGGGGAAUAUUGCACAAUGGGCGCAAGCCUGAUGCAGCCAUGCCGCGUGUAUGAAGAAGGCCUUCGGGUUUUAAAGUACUUUCAGCGAGGAGGCGUUACUCGCAGAAGAAGCACCGGCUAACUCCGGGCCAGCAGCCGCGGUAAUUC